CCUACGGGGGGCAGCAGUGGGGAAUAUUGGACAAUGGGCGAAAGCCUGAUCCAGCCAUGCCGCGUGUGUGAAGAAGGCCUUCGGGUUGUAAAGCACUUUCAGUGGGGAAGAAAGCCUUGGGGCUAAUACCCUCGAGGAAGGACAUCACCCACAGAAGAAGCACCGGCUAACUCCGUGCCAGCAGCCGCGGUAAUACGGAGGGUGCGAGCGUUAAUCGGAAUUACUGGGCGUAAAGCGCGCGUAGGCGGUCUGAUAAGCCGGUUGUGAAAGCCCCGGGCUCAACCUGGGAACGGCAUCCGGAACUGUCAGGCUAGAGUGCAGGAGAGGAAGGUAGAAUUCCCGGUGUAGGAGUGAAAUGCGUAGAGAUCGGGAGGAAUACCAGUGGCGAAGGCGGCCUUCUGGACUGACACUGACGCUGAGGUGCGAAAGCGUGGGUAGCAAACAGGAUUAGAUACCCCAGUAGUC
rnacentral:rRNA from 1 species